AGUGAACGCUGGCGGCAGGCCUAACACAUGCAAGUCGAGCGGCAGCGCGCGGGCAACCCUGGCGGCGAGCGGCGGACGGGUGAGUAAUUCGUCGGAAACUGCCUCUUUGUGGUGGAUAACGUAGGGAAACUUACGCUAAUAACGCAUACGUCCUACGUGAGAAAGGGGGGGACCUCAAGGCCUCACGCAGAAAGGUGAGCCGACGACCGAUUAGCUAGUUUGUGGGGUAAAGGCCCACCAAGGCGACGAUCGGUAGCUGGUCUGAGAGGAUGAUCAGCCACACUGGAGCGUGGACAGGGCCCAUGCUCCUGCGGGAGGCCGCAGUGUGGAAUAGUAGACAAUGGGCGGGAGCCUGGUCCAGCCAUGCAGCGUGUGUGAAGGAGGCCCUCGGGUUGUAAAGAACUUUUGUCCGGAAAGAAAUCCCUGGAGCUAAUAACUACGGAGAAUGACGGUACCGGAAGAAUAAGCACCGGCUAACUUCGUG
rnacentral:rRNA from 1 species